rnacentral:rRNA from 1 species
UUAGUGGCGAACGGGUGAGUAACACGUGAGUAACCUGCCCUUAACUCUGGGAUAAGCCUGGGAAACUGGGUCUAAUACCGGAUAUGACUCCUCAUCGCAUGGUGGGGGGUGGAAAGCUUUUGUGGUUUUGGAUGGACUCGCGGCCUAUCAGCUUGUUGGUGAGGUAAUGGCUCACCAAGGCGACGACGGGUAGCCGGCCUGAGAGGGUGACCGGCCACACUGGGACUGAGACACGGCCCAGACUCCUACGGGAGGCAGCAGUGGGGAAUAUUGCACAAUGGGCGCAAGCCUGAUGCAGCGACGCCGCGUGAGGGAUGACGGCCUUCGGGUUGUAAACCUCUUUCAGUAGGGAAGAAGCGAAAGUGACGGUACCUGCAGAAGAAGCGCCGGCUAACUACGUGCCAGCAGCCGCGGUAAUACGUAGGGCGCAAGCGUUAUCCGGAAUUAUUGGGCGUAAAGAGCUCGUAGGCGGUUUGUCGCGUCUGCCGUGAAAGUCCGGGGCUCAACUCCGGAUCUGCGGUGGGUACGGGCAGACUAGAGUGAUGUAGGGGAGACUGGAAUUCCUGGUGUAGCGGUGAAAUGCGCAGAUAUCAGGAGGAACACCGAUGGCGAAGGCAGGUCUCUGGGCAUUAACUGACGCUGAGGAGCGAAAGCAUGGGGAGCGAACAGGAUUAGAUACCCUGGUAGUCCAUGCCGUAAACGUUGGGCACUAGGUGUGGGGGACAUUCCACGUUUUCCGCGCCGUAGCUAACGCAUUAAGUGCCCCGCCUGGGGAGUACGGCCGCAAGGCUAAAACUCAAAGGAAUUGACGGGGGCCCGCACAAGCGGCGGAGCAUGCGGAUUAAUUCGAUGCAACGCGAAGAACCUUACCAAGGCUUGACAUGGACCGGACCGCCGCAGAAAUGUGGUUUCCCCUUUGGGGCCGGUUCACAGGUGGUGCAUGGUUGUCGUCAGCUCGUGUCGUGAGAUGUUGGGUUAAGUCCCGCAACGAGCGCAACCCUCGUUCCAUGUUGCCAGCGCGUAAUGGCGGGGACUCAUGGGAGACUGCCGGGGUCAACUCGGAGGAAGGUGGGGACGACGUCAAAUCAUCAUGCCCCUUAUGUCUUGGGCUUCACGCAUGCUACAAUGGCCGGUACAAAGGGUUGCGAUACUGUGAGGUGGAGCUAAUCCCAAAAAGCCGGUCUCAGUUCGGAUUGGGGUCUGCAACUCGACCCCAUGAAGUCGGAGUCGCUAGUAAUCGCAGAUCAGCAACGCUGCGGGUGAAUACGUUCCCGGGCCUUGUACACACCGCCCGUCAAGUCACGAAAGUUGGUAACACCCGAAGCCGGUGGCCUAA